rnacentral:tRNA from 2 species
CUGUAGAUGACUGAGUUUAAGUGUUAGAUUUUUAAUCUAAAAACGACAGUAUAUCAUGUCUCUAUGGG